rnacentral:lncRNA from 1 species
UUAGCAAACGUAUCUUCUUCCUUUCUCCCGAGACUUUGGUUUCACCAACGAAAUUAAAACUAUCUUCUUCAUUUACGUUAGGGUACAAAGGGCUAACUAAGUAGAGGGAAAAUAUGAAGGAAUUACACAGGAGACGACAAAAAGAGGACGAAGAAGAGGAAAGAAAAGUUGUCAAUCAUCGUGAAAUUGGCUUGUGGCUGAAAAAUUAGCCAGAAUAAGAGUUCGAAAAAGUCAAGAAAUUGAUUUCAAGUUUUAUUAAAUCAGGUGAGGAAGUGAAGGAGGUAAUUGUUUAUAGCAUUGAACUUGUUCAUCUCAGAAUUUCUGUCCUUUUUAUGGUUGUAAAUUGGAACACUUAGGGGACAUUUAUGUGUAAAUUAGGAUUUAUUUUGCUUAGUUUGAAGGUAUAAAUUCAAAUCAAAAGUGGACGAUCAAACAACGUGAAAUAAUGAGUGUAUCACAAUGAUGAAAUUCUCUACUAAUUACUAGAAUUAUUGUAAAAUGAUUAAAAAAAAAAAAAAGGGCGUAAUAAGUACUAUUUUAGCACAAUACACUCUUUGUCCUCUAUUCCUCGCAGAGAAAUCCAUUUUGCCUUCUGAAUUUUUAGUCGUAUGUUGGAUUUUUAAAUAUUUGCACGUGAAUUGACUUAUUGGGUAGCAAUGGCAAAUCGAAACAAUGAAUAGGUCGAAGAAGGAUUACAACCUACGCCUAUGAUCGAAAAUGGGAGACGUACGUGGCACUAUUAUCAGUAAUUUCUACAAGGAUAAGCCAUUUUUCUUUAGCACCAAAUUUUGGAGGUAAUAUCAAACGUUUAUUUAGAAACAUGCUUUAAUUCUAUUGGGCUCUAUUUGUUUCCGACUCGAUUUGAUUGCGUGUAAAUGAUGUAACCAUAAACGCUUCUCAACUUCUAGCUCCUUAGAAUUUAUUUUUCAAAAUUGUUGUUUUAUAAUGGUAAUUUUCCUUCUGCAACAACAAUUUUUAGUCGAUAACUCUCUUGAAUUUUCGAUGAUGUUGGUUGUGGCUUUCUCCUUGGCUUCGAAAACUGACCCACCUCAAGUGUAAUCUGUGAAUAGCCAUUUGUGGCUUUUUUCCAAAAUUUGGCUCUGUUUGUGGCUUUUUGAACAUGUUUGUUGGUUCCCAAUUGACUAACUUUCUCAGUUUUG